GCGAACAGCACUGGUGUCUCCCUCCCGC
rnacentral:sRNA from 1 species